rnacentral:sRNA from 1 species
AAAACUGAAACCCAUUAUCUUGCGAACUGAAACCCCAUUAUCUUGCCAUGCCGAUAGAAUUAAAACCCACUACGGGAUCCUGUUUUCUGGAAUCUGGAUCCGUCUCUCACUAACUCUCUCUCUCUCCCUCCUUCGCAGCCACCUCUCUUUCUCCCUCCUCCGCGGCCACCGCCAGCCGAACCUCCUGUCACUAGCUCCUCCCAUCUAACUAUCUAUCCUCUCCAAACCACCACAGAUUUAAUCCCGAGAGUCGAAGCUCUGAAAAGGGAGCAGCAUCCAACCGCACCAGCAACUUUCAUGUAAGCUCCGAUCUUCCUCUCGCUCUAUCUCAGUUACCCAUUUGUUGUUCAUUUGGAUCUUGCUUCGAUUAAGCUAUUUGUGACUUAAACCGUCGCCUUCAUUGCCAUCUUCUCCAGUUUUGGGUUGGAGAGAAGGAGAAGGAGAAAAGAGAGGAAGCAUUUUAGCGAGGGAAAGGACAGUUUGAAGAUUUUGCUUCCUUGGAAAUCUAGCGGCAAGAAAUCAUCCAUAAGAAGAAGUCCACCCAUUGAUACUACCAAGUUCCAUAGCACACUAAACCGAAUAGGAAUCGGCGAGCGAGAGAGGGUGGGUGGUGCCACUGCAAUCCUACUUCUUCUGCUCUUCCAGUGCCUUCCAGUUUUAAGAUUUCCAGAGGACUUCAACAUAUCAACUAUGGAGGGAAUUGAUAGACGCAAUAUGUCAGAGAAAUUCACUUCGGACAAACAAAUGUUCAAAAUUCUCAACAGUCAAAUCAAAGUUAUCGUAGGAGCAAUCAACAAAGGCAAAGACGACAAUCUAUGAAUUCAUCACAUCGGGCUCAAAUUUCAAUGCGACGACGUGCCAAUUAUCAAACACGAUUGAACUCAGUAAAUAUAGUACAAAAUCAAACGGAAGUAAACCAAGAUGACAUAGGACGUAACUAUGAUUUCUUAUUUUUUUUGUCUCUAUUAAUUAUAUAUUUGUAAAUUCAUACGUUGUAUGAAUAUUUUU